CCAAACAGAACCUUCCAGAUCCUCCGGUUGCGACGGUAACAGAUGAAAGGACCCGCGUGACAGUGCGGCGCGUGAGGAUGACGUCAGUGGUGUCUUAAAACAUGCCCGAUGUAGCUGCAGCCGCGGAUGGCAGUAGUUAAAGCUCUGGAGAAGAUCUCUGAAGAUGAGUUCAGAAGGUCUCAGCUGCUGAAACCCCAUCGAGCCAAAUUCGACAGAACUGAAAACCGACAACUAGAGGAGGUAGAAACGUUCACCCAGAAAUAGAUAAUGUGCUCGCCCUAAUGCCAUCCAAGAUGUAGUUGAGUUUGUUUGUUAGUGGAAACAGAUUUGGAGAAAUGUAGUAUUCCAUCACUUUGCUCACCAGUGAAUGGGUGCCGUCAGAAUGAGAGUCCAAACAGCUGAUGAAAACAUCAGUAAUCCACACCACUCCAGUCCAUCAGUUUAUGUCUGGUGAAGUGAGAAACUCUGCGACCUCAUGAAACCAGCGCUGAUAUUCUAGAGCUGGAUGUCGAGUCUGUAGACAUUGUCUGGCCUCCUGCUAUUCCGGAUUGACGUUUCGGGAUUUUGAGAACAGUUUUCCUAUAUGUCAGGACUAUAUAUUUAUAUAGAUUAUUUGGAUGAACUAAAGCCAAAUGCACUGAAUGCAUGUGCUUUAAUAAACCACCUAAUUUAGUUUUUCUUGUUAAUGUCACGAUCCUCUAGAAACUAGUUUAUUUUGAUAUACAUUUUAAAAUUGUUUGUAGGUUUUAGGUAGAAUCAUGCAUAGCCUAUGUAAUGAGUUUAUAGUUAUAUCAAAAUCUAAACAACCCCAUAUUAAAGUAAUAACUACGUUUAUAGACCCUUGCAGCUUCCAAAUGUUGGCAAAACUAAUUUUUUAAAAAUUUAUACAAAUUUUAC